UUUUCAUAUGUCUAUGGCUCUGACGUGACGUGACCCCGCGUCAGACACGAAGCGGUGUCAGAUUUAAGCCUGCGCGUAGCUCAUAAAACCAACCGUUGCACAGCAUCGUCAGAUUCGUCAGUUGAUUUCAUAAGCUACGCGCAGGCGCCAAUCUGACACCGCUCCCUGUCCGACGUGGGCCCACAUCACGGCAGAGCAGUCUGUAGGACGCUUUACUCUUACGUCACUUUUUCUAUUUUUAAAAACACCUCUAAUUAACUAGUUACGAAUAUUCCCGAAAAGGUGAAUGCACACUGUUACUUAUUAAUCUACGUACCAGGGAAAUAAAUUAAUUUCUGUUACAAUUAGUGAAGUGGAUGGUUAACAACAGCAACGUACAAUCGAUAUACAUCAGUUCCAAACGAUUAUUGAACUUUUUAAUCAAUUACUGACAAAGGGAAACGUUACAAAUAUGUUUAACGAGACAUUAUAACCGUUAUCACAAGUACAAAAAAGACAGUCGCUCAUCGUUGAAUCAAAAUGAAUGCAAUGUAUCGACACAUUCGGAGUAUCUACGUUGCUACAGUUGACGCCAUUGUUUAUUAUAUUUUUAUUGUACAAAUAUCGGAAGGUGAUCGUUUCGAUAAUUUUCCGUUGUUACAUUGUGAUAUUUCUCCCCGUUUGUUGCGAACGAAAAUGAAAAACGAACAAAAAGGAAAAUGAAUAGAGAGGAAAAUGAGAACUGAAAAAUGGGUGAUAACAGAACACGCAUGAACAAUCACGUUGAAAUAAUAAAUUGUCGCCAUGCAGGAAUAACUGUUGAUUUCCAUGUCUGUUAUUCUAGUGUUUUAAAGGAAUCGUGCAUUCACAAUAUAACGAGAUUGUUGGAAUCUGUUGAAAAGUUAAAUUUCAUGAAUCGAACGUGAACGCCCCUUGGAUUAUCGAGAGUAUCCAACGAACGACAAAUCAAGCUAACGAAUAAGAAUUCAUUCUUUUAUUCGUUUUGAGUAUAAAACGAAUAAGAAAAAAUUCGGCGAAAUCUCAAAUUUUUUCGAAUGAAACUAACAAAUAAGUACCUUUUUAUUUCUUCUAAGUCUAAAUGAGGAAAAAUUCGGUGAAAUCUCGAGUUUCUUCGAACGGAGCUAACGAAUAAAUAUCUUUUAUUCGUUUUAAAACUGAAUAAGGAAAAAUUCAGUGAAAUCUCAAAUUUUUUCAAACGAAGCUAACAAAUAAGUACCUUUUAUUUGUUUUAAGUCUGAAUGAGGAAAAAUUCGGUGAAAUCUCGAAUUUUUUCGAACGGAGCUAACAAAUAAAUAUCUUGUAUUCGUUUUAAAACUGAAUAAGGAAAAAUUCGGUGAAAUCUCGAAUGUUUUCCUGGCACGAUAAUUUCCAUGGAUAGAGAAUAUACACAGAGAUUUGUUGAAAGAUUGUUUAUAUUUCUGUCAAUUGAGCAUUGUUCGAAACAGUCUGGACAUGACCUGAAUAAUAUUUAAUAAACAUUUACAAUAAAUUCAUGGAAUUUAAUUUGCGUUUAAUUGUGUGGGUUACCGAAGAAAUUUAAUUUUUUUUACUUAAAGAGAAAGAAUUUAUGUAUAAUUUCUUGGUUGGUGUUUAAGAACCUCGAAAUUGAGUUCCAAUACGAAGGUAUUGGAAUACAGAUCAUAGAAAUGACCAUUGAUAACAGAGUUGAGCAUUAUUCUUUUAAUUAUUCUUGGAAUAAUCAAUUGAAUAAAGAUUUAUUCGUAUAAUCUCUAUGAAAUUGAUGGAUAAUUUUGAUAUUAGUCAGGAACGAGGGAUGAAACUUUAUUCGGGUUAAUUAAUUCGCCAUUUGAAGGAAGCUUUAAUCGAAUGAAAAACUUCAUCGAAUAAAUCCUGAAUGAACUACGAAUGAAAAUGGUUUGACACUAAGAAAUACAUCUACUGCAAUUGUGUAUUCGAUUCAAGAAUUAUUCGAAUAAUCUUCAUGAAGUUAACGAAUAAUUUUGAUAUUGGUCAGGAAUGACGAAUACAAAUUUAUUCGAAUUAAAAUUCAUUUGAAUAAAUUCAAAUAACGAGGAAAGCUUCGAUCGAAUAAAAGACUUAUUCGAAUAAAUCCUGAAUAAAAUACGAAUAAAAGUGGUUUAACACUAAUAAAUAAAUAAAUCCAUUGCAAAUGUAUACGCAUCUAAAGAUCUAUUCGAAUAAUCACCACCAAUUUUAUGAAUAAUUUUGAUACUGGUCAGAAAUGACGAAUAAAAAUUCAUUUGAAUAGAUUCAAAUAACGAAGGAAGCUUUAAUUGAAUAAAAAGUUUAUUCGAACACAUUCCGAAUAAAAUGUUCUGACACUACGAAAUAUAUCUAUUGCAGAUGUAUACUCAAUUAAAGAUUAAUUCGAAAAUCGUCCAACUCCGAAUAAAGAAUAAAAUUCCAUUCGAAUAAAUCGAAAUCCAAACAAGAAUGAAAAUCUUCCGACAGUAAGAAAUAAAUCCAUUGCAAUUGCAUAUUCGAUUCAAGAAUUAUUCGAAUUAUGUUCAUGAAGUUUACGAAUAAUUUUGAUCUUUGCCAAAAGUGAGGGAUACAAAUUUAUUCGAAUUAAAAUUCAUUUGAAUAAAUUCUAAUAACGAGGAAAGCUUCAAUCGAAUAAGACUUAGUAGAAUAAAUCCUGAAUAAAAUACAAAUAAAAGUGGUUUAUCACUAAUAAAUAAAUAAAUCCAUUGCAAAUGUAUACGCAUCUACAGAUCUAUUCAAAUAAUCUCCAUCAAUUUUAUGAAUAAUUUUUAUUGGCCAGGAAUGACGAAUACAAAUUUAUUCGAAUUAAAAUUCAUUUAAAUAUAUUUAAAUAACGAAGGACGCUUUAACUUAAUAAAAAGCUUAUUCGAAUACAUUCCGAAUAGAAUAUUCGACACUACGAAAUAAAUCUAUUGCAAUUGUAUACUCGAUUAAAGAUUUAUUCGAAAAUCGUCCAACUCCGAAUAACGAAUUAAAUUUCAUUCGAAUAAAUCGAAAUCCAAACAAGAAUGAAAAUGUUUCAACAGUAAGAAAUAAAUCUAUUGCAAUUGUAUACUCGAUUAAAGAUUUAUUCGAAAAUCGCCCAACUCUGAAUAACGAAUACGAGAAUUUCAUUCGUUGAAGCAAAUAACGUUAAAUUAGGCGCGAACCUAAUCGUACUUGAACGGACAAGGUGAGACGAAAAUUGCAGUACGACAAACCGAAACCAAAAUAUGGAAGAUUCGCAAACAAACACUAUGUCAUAGCGUGAGAAUGAUUAACGGAUGAAUGUCGUAGGUGUUAACGCGUACAACUUAAUUACCAGGUAGUUACAAAAUUUUUUAAGCCAAGACUUAGACAUUCCAGCAAAAAAGCAGGGGGUUGGGGAGGGAAGGGGGAUGAAAAAUAUUGACAAAAAAAAAAGAACCAUUAAUUCUAACUCUAUUCUAUCUCUAUAUUCUUCUACCGACUAUAUUUUUCUAAUUAUAUUUGUACGUUGAAUUGUAAGCUCUAAUUGACCAAGCGCUGUUUCAUGCUUGCGGAUGACGAAAGAGGAGAAAACGAGAGUGUACGUGCGAGUGAGAAAGAGAGAACGCGAGAGAGAGAGAGAGAGAGAGAGAGAGAGAGAGAGAGAGAGAGAGAGAAAGGAUACAAAACAAAAGACGAAAAAGAAAGGGGGUGGGGAAUAUUUAGAGAAAAAAAGAAAACUCAAAAAGUCAACGAGGAAAUAAAUGGCGACGAAGGAAUGAAAAUUCGAUGAAAACAAGAAAAAUGAAAAAAAAAAUAAAGAAGAGAAAUGAGAAAACGGCUCAUGUUAUUUUUUCGAGGUUGAGAUUACGUUGCUCGUUUUUUCUAUAAGAUAUCUAGUCUAUUUUUUUUAUCGACCUUAAUUUAAUUAUUGUAAAAAAAAAAAAGAAAAGAAAAAGGAAACAAAUAGCGAGAAACAGGGAGAGAGAAGAGCUAUGCGGAAAAAGAGAAAUAGCAGAGAAGGGGAAGAAUUGACAAAGUAAAAGAAAUUGUCUAAGGCGAUCGGAUGAAACGAAUAAAUCGGUGAAGAUGUUUGCGCAAACAUGUUUGUUACAGUGUGGUAUAGGCUUGUUGGACCGUUUCUGAUGUGGUUUGCUCUCGACGAGUCUUCUUACAGCAGUGGUUCUCAGUGAAAAAAGUGUCAAUGUCUCUUUGAACGACGUGUAACAUGGCUUCGAACCUGUCCAAACCAGCCCAAACAAGACCACUGUUGAAAACAAAUAUUCUUUCACGCGGUGCCAUUUUAAUGCUAAUCCGAGCAACGUUGCAACACAUUUCUGGCACAAAUAUCCAUAGUUAUGUACAGAGACUGCGGUUGAUAUUUGAAAAUCUAUGAGAAUAUGCACAAAUACAAAUUGUAUGUAAAAUAUCAACUGAUAAUAUACAUUUUAUAGGCUUCAGAAGAUGAAAAAUAAUUUCGUUUAUGAUAUGGAAGACUCAACGUGAAGACCAUUAUUAUCAAUUUUUAUUCAGCCAAAGUUACAAUGACGGUAUUUUGAAAAUUUGAUUUUUAAAGGAGGCAAAUGGGAGUACACUCAAUUUUUUCAGAAUUUUAGAAUCGUACCUGCUAGAAAAAUUUGUGCGUUUAGUUAAGAAAAAUUGUAGAUAUAAACGAUAAAAACAGUUUUUUUUAACAGAAACAAUUUUUAGUCGAUACUUUGUUAUCUUCUCUAUAAACUCUCAAAGUCCCAUUCUCUUUCAUCUAUUAGCUCAUGAGCUAUGAUUUUUGAACGAAAUGUAUUUUAGAAAACAACCGGUUUUUCACAAAAUGUGUAAAAUCCAUAAUUUUGAAAAUUUUGAAAAAUCUUACUUACUUAAAUUUUAAGAAGUCUUACCACAACA